rnacentral:rRNA from 1 species
CCUACGGGAGGCAGCAGUGGGGAAUAUUGCGCAAUGGGCGAAAGCCUGACGCAGCGACGCCGCGUGAGGGAUGAAGGUCUUCGGAUCGUAAACCUCUGUCAGCAGGGAAGAACGGUCACUGUGCUAAUCAGCAGUGAAUUGACGGUACCUGCAAAGGAAGCACCGGCUAACUCCGUGCCAGCAGCCGCGGUAAUACGGAGGGUGCGAGCGUUAAUCGGAAUUACUGGGCGUAAAGCGCUCGUAGGCGGUAUGUCAAGUCAAGGGGGAAAUCCCCGCGCUCAACGUGGGAACUGCCGUUGAAACUGGCAAACUGGAGUGUGUGAGAGGAUAGUGGAAUUCCAGGUGUAGGAGUGAAAUCCGUAGAUAUCUGGAGGAACAUCAGUUGCGAAGGCGACUAUCUGGCACAUAACUGACGCUGAGGAGCGAAAGCGUGGGUAGCAAACAGGAUUAGAUACCCCAGUAGUC